rnacentral:tRNA from 2 species
GGGACUGUAGUUCAAUUGGUUAGAGCACCGCCCUGUCACGGCGGAAGUCGUGGGUUCGAACCCCAUCAGUCCCG